rnacentral:rRNA from 1 species
UAACCGGCGAUUUCCGAAUGGGGAAACCCAGUGUGAUUCGUCACACUAUCAUUAACUGAAUCCAUAGGUUAAUGAGGCGAACCGGGGGAACUGAAACAUCUAAGUACCCCGAGGAAAAGAAAUCAACCGAGAUUCCCCCAGUAGCGGCGAGCGAACGGGGAGCAGCCCAGAGCCUGAAUCAGUGUGUGUGUUAGUGGAAGCGUCUGGAAAGGCGCGCGAUACAGGGUGACAGCCCCGUACACAAAAAUGCACAUAUUGUGAGCUCGAUGAGUAGGGCGGGACACGUGGUAUCCUGUCUGAAUAUGGGGGGCCCAUCCUCCAAGGCUAAAUACUCCUGACUGACCGAUAGUGAACCAGUACCGUGAGGGAAAGGCGAAAAGAACCCCGGCGAGGGGAGUGAAAAAGAACCUGAAACCGUGUACGUACAAGCAGUGGGAGCACGCUUAGGCGUGUGACUGCGUACCUUUUGUAUAAUGGGUCAGCGACUUAUAUUCUGUAGCAAGGUUAACCGAAUAGGGGAGCCGAAGGGAAACCGAGUCUUAACUGGGCGUUAAGUUGCAGGGUAUAGACCCGAAACCCGGUGAUCUAGCCAUGGGCAGGUUGAAGGUUGGGUAACACUAACUGGAGGACCGAACCGACUAAUGUUGAAAAAUUAGCGGAUGACUUGUGGCUGGGGGUGAAAGGCCAAUCAAACCGGGAGAUAGCUGGUUCUCCCCGAAAGCUAUUUAGGUAGCGCCUCGUGAAUUCAUCUCCGGGGGUAGAGCACUGUUUCGGCAAGGGGGUCAUCCCGACUUACCAACCCGAUGCAAACUGCGAAUACCGGAGAAUGUUAUCACGGGAGACACACGGCGGGU